rnacentral:rRNA from 1 species
UACGUAGGGUGCAAGCGUUUGUCCGGAAUUAUUGGGCGUAAAGAGCGUGUAGGCGGCCCGAUUAGUCCGCUGUGAAAGUCCAGGGCUCAACCCUGGAAUGCCGGUGGAUACUGUCGGGCUAGAGUCCGGAAGGGGCGAGUGGAAUUCCUGGUGUAGCGGUGAAAUGCGCAGAUAUCAGGAGGAACACCAAUGGCGAAGGCAGCUCGCUGGCCCGGUACUGACGCUGAGGUGCGAAAGCGUGGGGAGCAAACAGG